UACGAAGGGGGCUAGCGUUGUUCGGAUUUACUGGGCGUAAAGCGCACGUAGGCGGAUUGUUAAGUUAGGGGUGAAAUCCCAGGGCUCAACCCUGGAACUGCCUUUAAUACUGGCAAUCUAGAGUCCGGAAGAGGUGAGUGGAACUCCUAGUGUAGAGGUGAAAUUCGUAGAUAUUCGCAAGAACACCAGUGGCGAAGGCGGCUCACUGGCCCGGUACUGACGCUGAGGUGCGAAAGCGUGGGGAGCAAACAGG
rnacentral:rRNA from 1 species